AGGAGAACUGGUAUAGGUAUAGCUGCUAACUAAUCCCUAAAGCGGUUAAACUCCGUUUUUCUCCUC
rnacentral:tRNA from 1 species